UACGGGAGGCAGCAGUGGGGAAUAUUGCACAAUGGGCGCAAGCCUGAUGCAGCCAUGCCGCGUGUAUGAAAAAGGCCUUCGGGUUGUAAAGUACUUUCAGUCGUGAGGAAGGUGUUAAGGUUAAUAACCUUAGCAAUUGACGUUAGCGACAGAAGAAGCACCGGCUAACUCCGUGCCAGCAGCCGCGGUAAUACGGAGGGUGCGAGCGUUAAUCGGAAUUACUGGGCGUAAAGGGCACGCAGGCGGUUAAUUAAGUUGGAUGUGAAAUCCCCGGGCUUAACCUGGGAAUGGCAUUCAAGACUGGUUAGCUAGAGUCUUGUAGAGGGGGUAGAAUUCCAUGUGUAGCGGUGAAAUGCGUAGAGAUGUGGAGGAAUACCGGUGGCGAAGGCGGCCCCUGGACAAAGACUGACGCUCAUGUGCGAAAGCGUGGGGAGCGAAAC
rnacentral:rRNA from 1 species